rnacentral:rRNA from 1 species
CCGGAGAAUGUUAUCACGGGAGACACACGGCGGGUGCUAACGUCCGUCGUGAAGAGGGAAACAACCCAGACCGCCAGCUAAGGUCCCAAAGUCAUGGUUAAGUGGGAAACGAUGUGGGAAGGCCCAGACAGCCAGGAUGUUGGCUUAGAAGCAGCCAUCAUUUAAAGAAAGCGUAAUAGCUCACUGGUCGAGUCGGCCUGCGCGGAAGAUGUAACGGGGCUAAACCAUGCACCGAAGCUGCGGCAGCGAACGUAUCACCCAAGACAACUUUACGGAGUUGACGAUUGACGGAGCGAAGCGACGUCAAAGCGUUCAUUAAAGUCGAGUUGGCUUAGGGAUACGUUCGUUGGGUAGGGGAGCGUUCUGUAAGCCUGUGAAGGUGUGUCGUGAGGCAUGCUGGAGGUAUCAGAAGUGCGAAUGCUGACAUAAGUAACGAUAAAGCGGGUGAAAAGCCCGCUCGCCGGAAGACCAAGGGUUCCUGUCCAACGUUAAUCGGGGCAGGGUGAGUCGACCCCUAAGGCGAGGCCGAAAGGCGUAGUCGAUGGGAAACGGGUUAAUAUUCCCGUACUUGGUGUUACUGCGAAGGGGGGACGG